GACGAACGCUGGCGGCGUGCUUAACACAUGCAAGUCGAACGGAAAGGCUCUGCUUUUGUGGGGUGCUCGAGUGGCGAACGGGUGAGUAACACGUGAGUAACCUGCCCUUGACUUUGGGAUAACUUCAGGAAACUGGGGCUAAUACCGGAUAGGAGCUCCUGCUGCAUGGUGGGGGUUGGAAAGUUUCGGCGGUUGGGGAUGGACUCGCGGCUUAUCAGCUUGUUGGUGGGGUAGUGGCUUACCAAGGCUUUGACGGGUAGCCGGCCUGAGAGGGUGACCGGCCAAAUUGGGACUGAGAUACGGCCCAGACCCCUACGGGAGGGAGCAGGGGGGAAUAUUGCACAAUGGGCGGAAGCCUGAUGCAGAAACGCCGGGGGCGGGAUGAGGGCCUUCGGGUUGUAAACCGCUUUCCCCUGGGACGAAGGGGGGGUGACGGUAAUGGGUAAAGAAGCACCGGCUAACUACGU
rnacentral:rRNA from 1 species